rnacentral:rRNA from 1 species
CAGCCGCCGCGGUAAUACAGAGGGUGCAAGCGUUAAUCGGAAUUACUGGGCGUAAAGCGCGCGUAGGUGGUUUGUUAAGUUGGAUGUGAAAGCCCCGGGCUCAACCUGGGAACUGCAUCCAAAACUGGCAAGCUAGAGUACGGUAGAGGGUGGUGGAAUUUUCUGUGUAGCGGUGAAAUGCGUAGAUAUAGGAAGGAACACCAGUGGCGAAGGCGACCACCUGGACUGAUACUGACACUGAGGUGCGAAAGCGUGGGGAGCAAACAGGAUUAGAUACCCCUGUAGUCCCUGUCUCUUAUAC